rnacentral:lncRNA from 1 species
CUUUCUGUCAAACCCUAAAUCUCCAACGAGUUGCUCUUUCUCUCUGACGAGUUGUUUCUCUCUUUAUCUUCGAAUGAGCUUCUCUCUCUAUCUCCGACGAUCACUUCUCCAAUUUCACCCAUACGCCGCCGUCAAUAUCCUUAUCUCCACAGAUCUAUGAUUUCCAGUAGUUUCAAAUCUACGAUAGUUAUGAGAUGUUCAUGCAGAUCCAUACACACCC